UGGGGAAUUUUGGACAAUGGGCGAAAGCCUGAUCCAGCAAUGCCGCGUGUGUGAAGAAGGCCUUCGGGUUGUAAAGCACUUUUGUCCGGAAAGAAAUCCUUGGCUCUAAUACAGUCGGGGGAUGACGGUACCGGAAGAAUAAGCACCGGCUAACUACGUGCCAGCAGCCGCGGUAAUACGUAGGGUGCAAGCGUUAAUCGGAAUUACUGGGCGUAAAGCGUGCGCAGGCGGUUUGCUAAGACCGAUGUGAAAUCCCCGGGCUCAACCUGGGGAACUGCAUUGGUGACUGGCAGGCUAGAGUAUGGCAGAGGGGGGUAGAAUUCCACGUGUAGCAGUGAAAUGCGUAGAGAUGUGGAGGAAUACCGAUGGCGAAGGCAGCCCCCUGGGCCAAUACUGACGCUCAUGCACGAAAGCGUGGGGAGCAAAACAGGAUUAGAUACCCUGGUAGUCCACGCCCUAAAACGAUGUCAACUAGUUGUUGGGGAUUCAUUUCCUUAGUAACGUAGCUAAACGCGUGAAGUUGACCGCCUGGGGAGUACGUCGCAAGAUUAAAACUUAAAUGAAUUGACGGGGUCAUAGCUGUUUCCU
rnacentral:rRNA from 1 species